UUCUGGUGAUGCUGUAGCAGCACGGAAUGGUUUGUGGGUUACACUGAGAUGCAGGCCAUACUGUGCUGCCGCAGUGAAGCCUGAA
rnacentral:miRNA from 1 species